rnacentral:rRNA from 1 species
GACGAACGCUGGCGGCGUGCUUAACACAUGCAAGUCGAACGAAGAGCGAUGGAUGCUUGCUUCUAUCAAUCUUAGUGGCGAACGGGUGAGUAACGCGUAAUCAACCUGCCCUUCAGAGGGGGACAACAGUUGGAAACGACUGCUAAUACCGCAUACGAUCUAAUCUCGGCAUCGAGGAUAGAUGAAAGGUGGCCUCUACAUGUAAGCUAUCACUGAAGGAGGGGAUUGCGUCUGAUGAGCUAGUUGGAGGGGUAACGGCGCACCAAGGCGAUGAUCAGUAGCCGGUCUGAGAGGAUGGACGGCCACAUUGGGACUGAGACACGGCCCAGACGCCUACGGGAGGCAGCAGUGGGGAAUCUUCCGCAAUGGACGAAAGUCUGACGGCGCAACGCCGCGUGAGUGAUGACGGCCGUCGGGUUGUAAAGCUCGGUUAAUCGGGACGAAAGGCCUUCUUGCGAAUAGUGAGAAGGAUUGACGGUACCGGAAAAGAAAGCCACGGCUAACUACGUG